AUGAACGCUGGCGGCGUGCCUAAUACAUGCAAGUCGAGCGAACAGACGAGGAGCUUGCUCCUCUGACGUUAGCGGCGGACGGGUGAGUAACACGUGGAUAACCUACCUAUAAGACUGGGAUAACUUCGGGAAACCGGAGCUAAUACCGGAUAAUAUAUUGCACCGCAUGGUUCAAUAGUGAAAGACGGUUUUGCUGUCACUUAUAGAUGGAUCCGCGCCGCAUUAGCUAGUUGGUAAGGUAACGGCUUACCAAGGCGACGAUGCGUAGCCGACCUGAGAGGGUGAUCGGCCACACUGGAACUGAGACACGGUCCAGACUCCUACGGGAGGCAGCAGUAGGGAAUCUUCCGCAAUGGGCGAAAGCCUGACGGAGCAACGCCGCGUGAGUGAUGAAGGUCUUCGGAUCGUAAAACUCUGUUAUUAGGGAAGAACAAAUGUGUAAGUAACUAUGCACGUCUUGACGGUACCUAAUCAGAAAGCCACGGCUAACUACGUG
rnacentral:rRNA from 1 species